CCGGGCCGUAACUUUCCCCUUGGAGCCCGCACAGAACAAGUUGCUCCCUUAUCCCACAACCUUUCAGUGACUAGUGUGGAGAAGAUUCAGUGAGACAUUGGAGGCCACUGGAGGCAGAGAUGGAGCUCCAGCUUAGAAAUAGGUCCCAACUACCAGCUGUGACACUUCCUGCUCACCUGGAUGAAAAACCACAAGUCACAACUGGCUCCCAAAGGAAAGAGCGAUCCUUUUCUUAUGAACUUAUACAACUUUUCUGGAGGAAAACACCCAUCCCAUGUUAUUGAGGGCUUCUGUUUCUGUUCAUUCCCUUCUGAUGCUUGUCAAGUUUUCACGUUGUACAAUAAAAAUGUGCUUCCUUACAUGGAAUGAACAGGCCAUGGCUAGGACUCAACUCUCGCUAUUGCCAGAUGACUCUCCAGAAAGACGCAACUGAUUUACAGGCUCUCCAACGCCAUUAAAUAUGCCAUUUUCCCCUGCACAGAA